rnacentral:rRNA from 2 species
UCUGUAAAUGACGCUGAGGCGGGAAAGCGUGGGGAGCAAACAGGAUUAGAUACCCUGGUAGUCCACGCCGUAAACGAUGAGUGGUAAGUUUAGAGGGUUUCCGCCCUUUAGUGCUGAAGUUAACGCAUUAAGCACUCCGCCUGGGGAGUACGGUCGCAAGACUGAAACUCAAAGGAAUUGACGGGGGCCCGCACAAGCGGUGGAGCAUGUGGUUUAAUUUGAAGCAACGCGAAGAACCUUACCAGGUCUUGACUUCCUCUGACAACCCUAGAGAUAGGGCUUUCCCUUCGGGGACAGAGUGAACAG